CCUACGGGAGGCAGCAGUGAGGAAUAUUGGACAAUGGGCGCAAGCCUGAUCCAGCCAUGCCGCGUGCAGGAAGAAGCAUCUAUGGUGUGUAAACUGCUUUUGUACAGGAAGAAACACUCCCUCGUGAGGGAGCUUGACGGUACUGCAAGAAUAAGGACCGGCUAACUCCGUGCCAGCAGCCGCGGUAAUACGGAGGGUCCGAGCGUUAUCCGGAAUCAUUGGGUUUAAAGGGUCCGUAGGCGGUUUAAUAAGUCAGUGGUGAAAUCUGGUCGCUCAACGAUCAAACGGCCAUUGAUACUGUUAGACUUGAAUUAUAAGGAAGUAACUAGAAUAUGUAGUGUAGCGGUGAAAUGCUUAGAUAUUACAUGGAAUACCAAUUGCGAAGGCAGGUUACUACUUAUGGAUUGACGCUGAUGGACGAAAGCGUGGGGAGCGAACAGGAUUAGAUACCCUGGUAGUCCACGCCGUAAACGAUGGAUACUAGCUGUUCGGAGCAAUCUGAGUGGCUAAGCGAAAGUGAUAAGUAUCCCACCUGGGGAGUACGUUCGCAAGAAUGAAACUCAAAGGAAUUGACGG
rnacentral:rRNA from 1 species